rnacentral:rRNA from 1 species
AUGGGUGAGUAACGAGUACGCAACCAGUCCUCAGGAUGGGGACAACGGCUCCCAAGAGCCGCUAAUACCUAAUGACGUAUCUCUUCCGCCUGCAACAUAUACUAAGUAUGGGUCAUACCAUCUUUUUUGGAUGGGCCUGCGUCUGAUUAGCCAGUUGGUGAGGUAACGGCUCACCGAAUCAACGAUCACUAACCGGUCUGAGAGGAUGAACGGCCAGAUGGGACUGAUACACGGGCCAUACUCCUACGGGAGGCACUCCUGGGGAAUCUUCCGCAAUGGGCGAAAGCCUGACGGAGCAACGCCGCGUGAGUGAACAACGUCUUCGGAUCGUAAAGCUCUGUUGUCGGGGACUAAAGAGUAGACGAGGAAAUGCGGCUACUGGACGGUACCUGACGAGGAAGCCACGGCUAACUACGUGCCAGCAGCCGCGGUAAUACGUAGGCGGCAAGCGUUGUCCGGAAUUAUUGGGCGUAAAGGGAGCGCAGGUGGGACGGUAAGUCCUGUCUUAAAAGGGACGGGCUCACCCCCUGCUUGGGAUGGAACCUAUCGAUCUUAAAUGCCGGAUAGGAAACCGGAAUUCCCACUGUAACUCCUAAUGCGUAGAUAUGUGCAACAAAUAUCAGUGAAGAACGGCGGGUUUUCUGGACGGCAACUCUGACUGAAGGCUCGAAAGCCAGGGAGAGCAAACGUGAAUUAGAUACCCCGGUACUCCUCC